rnacentral:rRNA from 1 species
CGCUGGCGGCGUGCCUAAUACAUGCAAGUCGAGCGGAUCUUGUCCUUCGGGACAAGAUUAGCGGCGGACGGGUGAGUAACACGUAGGCAACCUGCCCUCAAGACUGGGAUAACCUCCGGAAACGGAUGCUAAUACCGGAUAUGCGGUUUCUCCUCCUGGAGAGAUCGGGAAAGACGGAGCAAUCUGUCGCUUGGGGAUGGGCCUGCGGCGCAUUAGCUAGUUGGUGAGGUAACGGCUCACCAAGGCGACGAUGCGUAGCCGACCUGAGAGGGUGAUCGGCCACACUGGGACUGAGACACGGCCCAGACUCC